rnacentral:lncRNA from 1 species
UUCCGCGAUCAAGCAACGCAGACGUCAAACUCAACGCGAAAUCAAAGUCCAUAUCUUAAUUCGCGCAGCCUUAUAUCCCCUAUGUUUAAUUGUUUCACCCGUUUUUCAAGUGCCUGAUGCAGCUAUGGUAGAAGACAGCUCGUAGUUUUAGCAGUUUGUCAGCCAUGUUUGCACUAAACUAACAAGCGCAACUGAUCUCAAAUAUACUUCGCAACUGGAAUUUUAUCGGAAUUUCGU